rfam:Pseudomonas fluorescens Pf-5, complete genome.
AUUAUUGAACCGUGAUCUGCUGACGUCGUCAGCAACAUGCCCCAUGCAGCUCGGAUCCGUAACGCUGCAGCACGUUAAUCGUGUGAUCCUCCUCAAGGUCGUUCAGCUUCUGGUAGCACGACCGGUCGACUAUCCGUCGAUAGAAGC